rnacentral:siRNA from 1 species
AGGCAAAUGGUGGAGCCUUGA